rnacentral:tRNA from 3 species
GCCGGGGUAGCUCAGCCUGGUUAGAGUGCCAGUUCAAAUCUGGAGGUCGCGAGUUCAAAACUCGCCCCCGGCA